UCUGCAACCUCUGCUCUUCUCCAAUGGAGCUGAAUUUUGGACACCCUAUAGUUUUUGAGCAUAUGAACAACUUUCAAGAAGGAACCAUUUCUGUUUGAGCGACGGAAAUUAAAGUGUUGAAGCUCCAAACAUGACAGUUGGAUUCUUGCAGAUUUCGAAGCUGCUAUGAUGUUUCGAAGAUCUGGAAAUAUUUAACCAUUAGUUCAUUCUGAAUGUUUGAUAUGUUAUGAAAGAGACGAUGAGGCACAACUUCAAUGAAGAAAGCAUGCUGAUCUGAACAAUAGAAAAUGGAGUUUCGAAGCUCACAACAAAUCUGACGGGUUGACAGAAAAAAAAAUAAUAACCAGUCAUUCAUCAUACCUGAAUUUCUUGAGUUAUAUAGCUCCGAGGGAUCUCAAAUUUGGAUAUGUUGUAGUUCACAAGCUGAGGAACAACUUCAAUGAAGAAAGCAUGCUGAUCUGAGCAAGAGAAAAUAUAGUUUCAAAGCUCACAACAAAUCUGACGGGUUGACAGACAAAUGAUAAACAGUCACUCAUCAUACCUGGAUUUCUGGAGUUAUACUGCUCCGAGGGACCUCAAAUUUGGAUAUGUUUUAGUUCACAAGUUAAGGAACAACUUCGAUGAAGAAAGUAUGUUGAUCUGAACAAGAGAAAAUGGAGUUUCGAAGCUCACAACAAGUCUGACAGGUUGACAGAAAAAUGAUGAACAGUCACUCAUCAUACCUGAAUUUCUGGAUUUGUACUGCUCCGAUGGAUCUCAAAUUUGGAUAUGUUGUAGCUGACAAGGUGAGGAACAACUUCAAUGAAGAAAGUAUGUUGAGAUGAACAAGAAAAAAUGGAGUUUAGAAGCUCACAACAAGUCUGACGGGUUAACAGAAAAUUGAUGAACAGUUACUCAUCAUACCUGAAUUUCUGGAGUUGUACUACUCCGAUGGAUCUC
rnacentral:lncRNA from 1 species